rnacentral:ncRNA from 1 species
CUUAUCCGGAGUGACGGAGGGAACAGGCCCUGUGAAGUCCGGCAACCUACUCUUUGAGCAAGGUGCUAAAUCCUGCGGCAAGACCGAAAGAUGAG